GAUGGGAAGUGUCAGUGAGUGCUGCCCAAAGAACUGGCUCGCAUGACUUGCGAGAAGCUUGUCACAAUCAGGGAACAUUUUUAACAGUGCUAGAUGUCUGCAGGGAGCCCAUACUACUCAAUUCUAUGUUUGGAUCAGUGAAGUUCACAUCUUAAAAAAGUAAAGCCUAAAUUAAAAGGGUAAAUGUUUAUGGAACAGCAGUUCUGCAGAAGUGGAGGUUGUGCUUUGGCUCCAUGUACCCAGGGCAGGCGAGGGAGCUCCAUGGGCUCCUCUGGCUACAGCUGCAGGAGCAGCAGGAGGAUCUUCCUCUUCUCCCACAACUUUGCACUGGGCCUCUGCUGAUGGUAUGUAUCCACAAAAGAAAUGCCAUCACACUUCUGGUUAAAAAGCAUUGAUUCCCCCUGAUAGUAAUUUCUGAUAAUCCAGUCCUGUUGGAAUCAGACUAUCUACUUUGGAGAGAAGGGUAUUUUUUUAUCUCUUCAUAAGUAGUUUAAACUUCUAACACAACUUCCAUAGGUCUGAAUUCAAACUUUGUAAAACUGAUAUUAAUAUCACACAAAAGUAAGUAUUUAAAUUCUUAACGCUGGUCAAGCCAAUUCAUACAAAUCCUUAAAUCCAAGACUGAUAGUUAUUGCCUCUUGGAGUAAUCUCAGUGAUUUGUGAUGAUUUCCUUAUAAUCCUCUUUAAUAUACUGCAGAAGCUGGCAAGACAGUUGGAGUAGAAUUCUGAUUGGGAUGGAAAACUUUUUUUUUGUAUAUAAAUGUGUAGCUGUGACUCUGAAUCAGACAAGAUAAGAAUUUAUAAAACAUGGGGUUCCAAACUUUACAGACUGAAACCUGAGGUGGAAAUGCUCUUGGGAAUGUGGUGUGAUCUUUGGGGUGAUCAUGUGCAGGGCCAGGAGUUGGGCUUCCAUGAUCUUAGUGGAUUCUUUCCAGUCAUAGCCUCUGAAAUGAGAAGAGACACAGCACAGGCAUCUUUGUUAGCUGAUAGCAUUGGCCUUUGCUUUUUCUGGAGUCCUUCUCACUCUAAUAUCCAUGUGUUUUCAUAUGUUAAGUGCAAAGGUAUCACUGUGCAUUAAUUUUAAUGAUGAAACAACUGGCUAUUCUUAAGAAACCAUCCUGUUAUUGUAUUUAUGAGAAUCUGUAAGCCUUACCACAAAAUCCCUUCAUUUUACUGCUUAACAGGAGAAGGAAAUGCCUGGCUGGACAUGGUGAAUAUCACCCAGGCUUCCAUCCUGAUCUGUGUUCCCUCUCAGACCUGCUGAGAGCAAAAUGGUCUGAAAUGGCAGCCUUGGAAAGAGCAUUUUGUUCAGUUGUUCAAGCAUCUACAGCCAGCAAGAUCACAAGACUUUUUUGGUUUCCUUUCCGAGGGGAAGAUAAGUUAUAAAUUAAGGAGAGUAUCCCGACAUCCACCUGGAAAAAUCACUGUUAAUCCUGAAGCAGCAGAUCCCUUAUGAGGAACCUUCCAACCCCCUGGACUCACAUGCUGUUACUCCUACCUGGACAGAGAGUUUUUAUGGUUGUUAUCCUUCCCAGGAGCAGUGUCCUUUAAAGACACCAUCCCCUGCUGUCUCAGAGAGGAAGUUUCUUUAGUCUCAGUACAAAUUCCAAAUCCUGGUUUCACUUUGGUCCACAGACUGAGAGGUUUAAAGCUGCUCUAGAUUUCAGCUCUACUUCCUCUACGUCAAAAUCCUUGCGUCCUGGUUUGGUUUUGUUCCACUCUCAGACAGGAAUGGCUUGGGAAGCUUUAAUAAAACUUCACAUCCACUAGAUGAUGGGAUGCAUUACAGUGUGUAACUAAUGAACAUCAGCUUUGCUGAAGGCUUCUCACACCUCCUCAGCACGUGACUUGGUCAUGUGGUACUGGAAGCAGCAGCAGCACCACCAACCACUGCAAAUGCUUUUCUGUUCUACCCUGUACGUCCUGGAAUCAUGCAGCAUUCAGCAAGAA